rnacentral:lncRNA from 1 species
CAGGAAUAACCUUUAUAUUUUGAUUUAUAUUAUUGAUAUAAAUCAAAACAUCGUGUUAUUCCUGAGUAGUUUUUCGAAUAACUUUAUUUAUGUGUUGAGAACCUUUGGUGACCCCACAGUUUAAGUGUCAUUAAAAAGUACAUAGUGAGCAGUGGUCGUUACAGACAAACAUUCACACAAUCUGUCCCAGUCAAUGGGAUAAUUUAGGUCGUCAAUCAAUAGUCACAGCCACA